rnacentral:tRNA from 1 species
CGGAGUGUGGCGCAGCCCGGUAGCGCACCUCGUUCGGGACGAGGGGGUCGCAAGUUCGAAUCUUGCCACUCCGACCA